GCAACAGAGCACGACUCUGUCUUGAAAAAAGGAAAA
rnacentral:sRNA from 1 species